rnacentral:rRNA from 1 species
AUGCAGUCGACGCGAAAGUCACUUCGGUGGCGAGUAGAGUGGCGGACGGGUGAGUAACGCGUGGGAAUCUGCCUCGUAGUGGGGGACAACCCGGGGAAACCCGGGCUAAUACCGCAUACGUCUUACGAGAGAAAGGGUGCCUCUGCUUGCAAGCACUCGCUAUGAGAUGAGCCCGCGUCGGAUUAGCUAGUUGGUGAGGUAAAGGCUCACCAAGGCGACGAUCCGUAGCUGGUCUGAGAGGAUGAUCAGCCACACUGGGACUGAGACACGGCCCAGACUCCUACGGGAGGCAGCAGUGGGGAAUAUUGGACAAUGGGCGCAAGCCUGAUCCAGCAAUGCCGCGUGUGUGAAGAAGGCCUGCGGGUUGUAAAGCACUUUCAGUUGGGAAGAAAAGCCUGUGGUUAAUAGCUGCGGGUCUUGACGUUACCGACAGAAGAAGCACCGGCUAACUCCGUGCCAGCAGCCGCGGUAAUACG